rnacentral:snRNA from 1 species
ACACUUACCUGGAAGGGAGUAUGAUGACCACGAAGGUGGCAUCCCAGGUGAGGCCCAUCCACUGUACUCCAGAUGUGGCGCCCCCUGCGAUUGCUUCAAAUGUGGGAAACUUGACCACAUGAUAUGUGGGGGACUGUGCUCACACUGCCCCCUA